UUAAAAACACUUGAAAUAUCCAUUUAAAAAAUAUUCACAUGGAUAUACAUAUGACACGAAUAUUAUUUUUAUCUAAUGAGACAUAUAAGAGACAAUUAAUAUUUGUACUCGUGGAUACCUAUCCAUGGUAUUCUUUCAUGCUCUAACUCCAUAGUGAAAUAAAGAACAGCUACACAAAUAACAAUUAUUGGGGAUAAGGAGCGAUAACAAACACUCCAAAAAUUGGAUGAAAAACUCCAAUAAACAUUACAUAAAAAUAAUUCAAAACUUAAAGACAUCAAGAAAUACAACACAUUGUCAAAAAAAAAAAUCCAAGUGUUAUUAAUUCUCUCCUCUCCUUAUUUAUUUGAUUCAUUCAUCCGAUGAUUUGAAAGGUAGCCUUCAAUAAAGCAUGUCUCUUUUAUUAUUCUCUCAACAAAAAAUUACUAAAAAAUAUGCAAUACUUUUUUGAACAACUAGUAGUUGUUCAACAAAACAGAACUCUCCUUGAAACAGAGGAGUUAGAGUCACAUGUUGUUGUUGACGAUGAAAAACAUUUGUCACCACUAAAAUCAUUCUCUUCUUCAACAAUAGUAUCCAACAUUUUCUUCAAUGGAAUUCGUGUCACCGACACAAACCUUGGUGGAGCAACCUCUGUUGUGAUUAAUCUUGCAAUUUUUUGUAACUUGUUGGCCAUUUCAUGAAACUCUAGUGUUGUUGAGGUAAACAAGUGAUGAAAACGUGAAGAAAUACGAGACAUAAAGAAAAAAGAAGAGUAGUUGUGUGUAUGCUUGUUUUUUGAGUGAGAGAAGAGAUAAAUAUAUAGGUGCUGAUGAAGUUGAAUUAAUGUUUAUCGAAAACAAUAGGCUUAAAUAUUCUAUCAGUAUAGUUAAAAAUACAAGAAAUUUAUUUUAGUUUCUA
rnacentral:lncRNA from 1 species